UGGAGAAUUCUAGAACUCUAGAAGAGAGAAGCAAGCUUUCUGCAGAAAUGAGAAUGCUGAUGCUGAGCAGGGUUUAAACAGAUCCUGCCAGUGGGAAUGUAAUUUGGGUCAAUGAAUCAUAAAUCCUAUUUUGGUAAUUUGCUGAAGACAAGAGCAUUGGAAUCAUAGCCAUCUUAAUGGACAUAGCUUGAAAGAGACACUGAUAGCUAAGCGACAUAAGGAGGUGGAGGAGAAUGAUUGAAGGGACCCUAAGGAGGGACCCAUCACAAAUGGACCACAUCAUUCACAACCCACUGGAACCUGACACUCAAGUUCCUGGAGAGAGAGAAAUAAUUUUAACAGAAGAUUCUACCUAAAAUCAAAACUACAGUUAACCUCUACUGUUUUCACACAGUUCUCAAGUACUGUAUCUAUCUGAAGUGUUUUGCAUCAACUCCUAAUGACUAUGGAUUUACUCGGGACCUUAAGACCAGAACUUUUCCAGAAAGCCAGCAAAUACCCCCUCAAUUUUUACUUUUACUUUUUGUACUUAAUAAUUCAAUCCAAUAAACAUUAAGAGCUCAUUACGUGCCAGGUACUGUGUUAAGCUUUGUUAUCGAAUACAUAUAGGUAUUCUAAAGAGCGUGUACAUCACACAAGGGACAUUGGGUAUUUAACCUAUGUAUUUUUAACGCAAAUGUAACUAUGAUAAUGGUCUUCCUUUGAAAAGCUCAGCAAACUGGGCAGCCCAGCCCACAAGACUCCCCGGAGCGUU